UACAGAGGUCUCAAGCGUUGUUCGGAUUCAUUGGGCGUAAAGGGUGCGUAGGCGGCGCGGUAAGUCGGGUGUGAAAUCCUUCGGCUCAACCGAAGAACGUCGGCCGAUACUGCCGUUCUUGAGGGAUGCAGAGGAGAUUGGAAUUCCCGGUGUAGCGGUGAAAUGUGUAGAGAUCGGGAGGAACACCGGUGGCGAAGGCGGGUCUCUGGGACGGUACUGACGCUGAGACGCGAAAGCGUGGGGAGCGAACAGG
rnacentral:rRNA from 1 species